AUGAACGCUGGCGGCGUGCCUAACACAUGCAAGUCGAACGGGACUAUCAAGUGAUGUUUCGGACUGAACUUUUAGUUAGUGGCGGACGGGUGAGUAACGCGUGGACAACCUGCCUCUCACUGGGGGAUAGCAGCUGGAAACGGCUGGUAAUACCGCAUGCGUUCAAUGUGCCGCAUGACACAUUGAAGAAAGAUUUAUCGGUGAGAGAUGGGUCCGCGUCUGAUUAGCCAGUUGGCGGGGUAACGGCCCACCAAAGCGACGAUCAGUAGCCGGCCUGAGAGGGCGGACGGCCACAUUGGGACUGAGACACGGCCCAGACUCCUACGGGAGGCAGCAGUGGGGGAUAUUGCACAAUGGGCGCAAGCCUGAUGCAGCGACGCCGCGUGAGUGAAGAAGUAUUUCGGUAUGUAAAGCUCUAUCAGCAGGGAAGAAAGGCCCGCAAGGGAGAUGACGGUACCUGACUAAGAAGCCCCGGCUAACUACGUGCCAGCAGCCGC
rnacentral:rRNA from 1 species